rnacentral:rRNA from 1 species
GUAGGUGGCAAGCGUUGUCCGGAAUUAUUGGGCGUAAGGCGCGCGCAGGCGGUUCUUUAAGUCUGAUGUGAAAGCCCACGGCUCAACCGUGGAGGGUCAUUGGAAACUGGAGAACUUGAGUACAGAAGAGGAAAGCGGAAUUCCACGUGUAGCGGUGAAAUGCGUAGAGAUGUGGAGGAACACCAGUGGCGAAGGCGGCUUUCUGGUCUGUAACUGACGCUGAGGCGCGAAAGCGUGGGGGAGCAAACAGGAUUAGAUACCCUGGUAGUCCACGCCGUAAACGAUGAGUGCUAAGUGUUAGGGGGUUUCCGCCCCUUAGUGCUGCAGCUAACGCAUUAAGCACUCCGCCUGGGAGUACGGCCGCAAGGCUG